UACGGGGGGGGCAAGCGUUGUUCGGAAUUACUGGGCGUAAAGGGCGCGUAGGCGGCCUUCUAAGUCGGACGUGAAAUCCCUCGGCUUAACCGAGACUGCGUCCGAUACUGAAAGGCUUGAAUUCGGGAGAGGGAUGUGGAAUUCCAGGUGUAGCGGUGAAAUGCGUAGAUAUCUGGAGGAACACCGGUGGCGAAGGCGGCAUCCUGGACCGAGAUUGACGCUGAGGCGCGAAAGCCAGGGGAGCGAACGGG
rnacentral:rRNA from 1 species